GACGAAGGGGGCAAGCGUUGUUCGGAAUUACUGGGCGUAAAGCGAGUGUAGGUGGUUGUCAUAGUCAGGCGUGAAAGCCUUGAGCUCAACUCAAGAAAUGCGCUUGAUACUGGGCAGCUAGAGGACCGGAGAGGAUAGUGGAAUUCCCAGUGUAGUGGUGAAAUACGUAGAGAUUGGGAAGAACACCAGUGGCGAAGGCGGCUAUCUGGACGGUUUCUGACACUAAGACUCGAAAGCGUUGGGGAGCAAACAGG
rnacentral:rRNA from 1 species